UGGGGAAUUUUCCGCAAUGGGCGCAAGCCUGACGGAGCAACGCCGCGUGAGGGAGGAAGGCCUGUGGGUUGUAAACCUCUUUUCUCUGGGAAGAAGAUCUGACGGUACCAGAGGAAUCAGCAUCGGCUAACUCCGUGCCAGCAGCCGCGGUAAGACGGAGGAUGCAAGCGUUAUCCGGAAUUAUUGGGCGUAAAGCGUCCGCAGGCGGCCAAUUAAGUCUGCUGUCAAAGCCUGGGGCUCAACCCCAGAUCGGCAGUGGAAACUGGUUGGCUAGAGUACGGCAGGGGUAGAGGGAAUUCCCAGUGUAGCGGUGAAAUGCGUAGAUAUUGGGAAGAACACCAGUGGCGAAGGCGCUCUACUGGGCCGAAACUGACGCUGAGGGACGAAAGCUAGGGGAGCGAAAGGGAUUAGAUACCCCCGUAGUCC
rnacentral:rRNA from 1 species